rnacentral:rRNA from 1 species
UACUCCUACGGGAGGCAGCAGUGGGGAAUAUUGGACAAUGGGCGCAAGCCUGAUCCAGCCAUGCCGCGUGAGUGAUGAAGGCCCUAGGGUUGUAAAGCUCUUUCAACGGUGAAGAUAAUGACGGUAACCGUAGAAGA